UUAACCUUGAGUUAGUCAUCAUCUCAGCCUCCCUCACCCCUAAAUUGGAGACUUCGUCUUCUUCAUUCUUCACAAAUCCCUUUCGUCCCUCACUGUUAAACCCUAGAUCUUCUUCUCCUUUCUCAAAAUCUUUCAAUGGCGUCCGCAGAUUUUGAGUUCCGGUGCUUCGUUGGAGGUCUAGGCUGGGACACCGAUGACAGAGCUCUUGAGACACCCUUCUCUCAAUACGGCGACGUUGUUGAUUCCAAGUCUUGCAGGCAAGCUUGCUUACAUUUCAAGACCAAGUUUAUGCUCUAGACGACAAAUGGGCACUAUCAGGUCUUGGUUAUGACCACUACGUCAAUGCUCAAGCCAUAAAAAAUGCUGCCGUAUUGCACUAUAACGGGAACAUGAAGCCGUGGCUUGAGGUGGGAAUCCCAAAGCACAAAAACUAUUGGAGAAAGCAUAUGAAUCGGGAAGAUCGGUUCUUGAGUGACUGUAACGUGAAUCCUUGAUGAGGAAGCUAAAUCGGGGUCACUCCAUAAUUGAUACUUGAUAGCUACAAGCUGAAGCAAUACAAUUUUCAAAAGACCAUAUACGUGUUGACUAUGUUGCCACUCUAAUCAUAGGGGAUGCUUGCCACUCUUUUUGCAGAUUUUGUAAAGUAUGUGGAGAAAACCUAUGACAGGUGGGUGACUUUGUUGUUGGUUGCAGACCCGUAUAUGCUUGAAGUGGGAGGAAUGCUUGAUAAGGUUGCAGCUUAUUUCAAGUGACAUAUUGAUGAUUCAGUCCAUUUAGGUCUGUUGUUUAGUGGAAGUGUAGAACUGUAGAAGUAUUCAACUUUAUGUUUAUUGUCAAACGUGAUUAAGAUCCAACUAGAAACGUGAAGAGACAAAAUAUUAAAUCUGUUAGCUCUGUUUUGUGAACAUAGUGCUGAAGACACCCAUAUGAAGACACACUCUUUAAAGAUAGUUCGUGACUAUGCUCAGUUCAAGAUGAAUUGUACUUGGGUAUGUAAAAUAUUGAUUUGUCUAUUUUUAAAGUUAUGGCUGAUUUACGUAACUUAAACGGCUGAGUUAUAUAUUUUAUACGGUUGAGUUAUGAAUUACGGAGUUAUGAGAUA